rnacentral:lncRNA from 1 species
CACAAAGACUACCCUGGCCAAGAUUUUGCUAAAUUAAAAUACGACUGUACACAGUUCCUAAACUAGAGUGGUCAAUCCCAUCUUGACACACGCACCGACAAGUCAAGUACUUGACUACACCCAGCAGCCUUCCGUCACUGAAUUAGAAAUUCAGGUAGUCCAGUGCCUAAGUGCAGUGAGUUGCUUGCAAGUCACCGUGGCGG